AGAACGAACGCUGGCGGCAUGCCUAAUACAUGCAAGUCGAACGAACACUUCGGUGUUAGUGGCGCACGGGUGCGUAACGCGUGGGAAUCUGCCCUUGGGUUCGGAAUAACAGUUGGAAACGACUGCUAAUACCGGAUGAUAUCGAAAGAUCAAAGAUUUAUCGCCCAGGGAUGAGCCCGCGUAGGAUUAGCUAGUUGGUGAGGUAAAGGCUCACCAAGGCGACGAUCCUUAGCUGGUCUGAGAGGAUGAUCAGCCACACUGGGACUGAGACACGGCCCAGACUCCUACGGGAGGCAGCAGUAGGGAAUAUUGGACAAUGGGCGCAAGCCUGACCCAGCAAUGCCGCGUGAGUGAUGAAGGCCUUAGGGUUGUAAAGCUCUUUUACCCGAGAUGAUAAUGACAGUAUCGGAGAAUAAGCCCCCGGCUAACUCCGUGUCAGCAGCCGC
rnacentral:rRNA from 1 species